GACGAACGCUGGCGGCGUGCCUAAUACAUGCAAGUAGAACGCUGAAGAGAGGAGCUUGCUCUUCUUGGAUGAGUUGCGAACGGGUGAGUAACGCGUAGGUAACCUGCCUGGUAGCGGGGGAUAACUAUUGGAAACGAUAGCUAAUACCGCAUGAAAUGGAUUAUCGCAUGAUAAUCGAUUGAAAGGUGCAAAUGCAUCACUACCAGAUGGACCUGCGUUGUAUUAGCUAGUUGGGGGGGUAACGGCUCACCAAGGCAACGAUACAUAGCCGACCUGAGAGGGUGAGCGGCCACACUGGGACUGAGACACGGCCCAGACUCCUACGGGAGGCAGCAGUAGGGAAUCUUCGGCAAUGGACGGAAGUCUGACCGAGCAACGCCGCGUGAGUGAAGAAGGCUUUCGGAUCGUAAAGCUCUGUUGUAAGAGAAGAACGAGUGUGAGAGUGGAAAGUUCACACUGUGACGGUAUCUUACCAGAAAGGGACGGCUAACUACGUGCCAGCAGCCGCAGUAA
rnacentral:rRNA from 1 species